rnacentral:rRNA from 1 species
CCUACGGGAGGCAGCAGCGGGGAAUAUUGCACAAUGGGCGCAAGCCUGAUGCAGCCAUGCCGCGUGUGUGAAGAAAGCCUUCGGGUUGUAAAGCACUUUCAGCGGGGAGGAAGGCGUUAAGGUUAAUAACCUUGGCGAUUGACGUUACCCGCAGAAGAAGCACCGGCUAACUCCGUGCCAGCAGCCGCGGUAAUACGGAGGGUGCAAGCGUUAAUCGGAAUUACUGGGCGUAAAGCGCACGCAGGCGGUCUGUCAAGUCGGAUGUGAAAUCCCCGGGCUCUACCUGGGAACUGCAUUCGAAACUGGCAGGCUAGAGUCUUGUAGAGGGGGGUAGAAUUCCAGGUGUAGCGGUGAAAUGCGUAGAGAUCUGGAGGAAUACCGGUGGCGAAGGCGGCCCCCUGGACAAAGACUGACGCUCAGGUGCGAAAGCGUGGGGAGCAAACAGGAUUAGAUACCCGAGUAGUC